CAGACGUGGCGACCCGCUGAAUUUAAGCAUAUUAGUCAGCGGAGGAAAAGAAACUAACCAGGAUUCCCUCAGUAACGGCGAGUGAACAGGGAAGAGCCCAGCGCCGAAUCCCCGCCGCGCGUCGCGGCGUGGGAAAUGUGGCGUACGGAAGACCCACUCCCCGGCGCCGCUCGUGGGGGGCCCAAGUCCUUCUGAUCGAGGCCCAGCCCGUGGACGGUGUGAGGCCGGUAGCGGCCCCCGGCGCGCCGGGCUCGGGUCUUCCCGGAGUCGGGUUGCUUGGGAAUGCAGCCCAAAGCGGGUGGUAAACUCCAUCUAAGGCUAAAUACCGGCACGAGACCGAUAGUCAACAAGUACCGUAAGGGAAAGUUGAAAAGAACUUUGAAGAGAGAGUUCAA
rnacentral:rRNA from 1 species